UACGGGAGGAGCAGUGGGGAAUAUUGCACAAUGGGCGCAAGCCUGAUGCAGCCAUGCCGCGUGUAUGAAGAAGGCCUUCGGGUUGUAAAGUACUUUCAGUCGUGAGGAAGGUGUUAAGGUUAAUAACCUUAGCAAUUGACGUUAGCGACAGAAGAAGCACCGGCUAACUCCGUGCCAGCAGCCGCGGUAAUACGGAGGGUGCGAGCGUUAAUCGGAAUUACUGGGCGUAAAGGGCACGCAGGCGGUUAAUUAAGUUGGAUGUGAAAUCCCCGGGCUUAACCUGGGAAUGGCAUUCAAGACUGGUUAGCUAGAGUCUUGUAGAGGGGGUAGAAUUCCAUGUGUAGCGGUGAAAUGCGUAGAGAUGUGGAGGAAUACCGGUGGCGAAGGCGGCCCCUGGACAAAGACUGACGCUCAUGUGCGAAAGCUGGGGAGCAAAC
rnacentral:rRNA from 1 species